AACUUUCAACAACGGAUCUCUUGGCUCUCGCAUCGAUGAAGAACGCAGCGAAAUGCGAUAAGUAAUGUGAAUUGCAGAUUUUCAGUGAAUCAUCGAAUCUUUGAACGCACCUUGCGCCCCUUGGUAUUCCGAGGGGCAUGCCUGUUUGAGUGUCAUUG
rnacentral:rRNA from 1 species